AUGGCUGUCGUCAGCUCGUGCCGUGAGGUGUUGGGUUAAGUCCCGCAACGAGCGCAACCCUUAUCAUUAGUUGCCAACAUUUAAGGUGGGAACUCUAAUGAGACUGCCCGGGUUAACCGGGAGGAAGGUGAGGAUGACGUCAAGUCCGCAUGGCCCUUAUGUCUGGGGCUACACACGUGCUACAAUGGUCGGUACAGAAGGCAGCGAAGCCGCGAGGUGAAGCAAAUCCAAAAAGCCGAUCCCAGUUCAGAUUGUAGUCUGCAACUCGACUACAUGAAGAUGGAAUUGCUAGUAAUGGCGAGUCAGCAACAUCGCCGUGAAUACGUUCCCGGGUCUUGUACACACCGCCCGUCACAUCAUGGGAGUUGGUUUCACCCGAAGCCGCUGGCUUAACCGAAAGGAAAGAGGCGUCUAAGGUGAGGCUGAUGACUAGGAUGAAGUCGUAACAAGGUAGCCCUACCGGAAGGUGGGGCUGGAUCACCUCCUUUAAAGGACAAAUGAAUGAAUCGAACGUAAGUUCGUCGUUCAUGUUUGAGCAAGCUCUAGCACAUUGUUUCCCUUUUGCUGUCAAUGACAGUAUUGUUUUUACGUAACGUAGUUCGUACCAUAGGUUUUAACCUGUGUUUACUAUGCGUUCGUAGCGUAGGUUUUAACCUGCGUUUUUGUACCGUAGAAUUUAUUCUGCGUUAUAAAAGACAAAAGAUAUCUUGACAGGCAAAUGAUUGAAAUAAUAAUCAAGUUAAUCUAAAAUAGCGUAAGAUUUGUAACUUCGAAUUACUGUAGCGUAGGUUUUAACCUGCGCAUGUUUUCACGGGUUUUAACCCGUGUUAAUAAAACUUUAAAACGAAAACAAAUCAGUAAAGAAAAUAUAAAAUGUGUAAAAGCAUUUUCAUUUAUAUAAGUAUCACUGAUCAAAAUCGACGCUUGAGGAUCAACUUCACACACACAUGAUAGAUAGUAAGCGAAUAAGUCUUGAUAUCGUAGCGUGGAUCAUAGGUUUUAAUCUAUGUUAAUCUACGUUAUGACAUCAAGACCGUAAGACAAUUAAAUAACUCAUUAAAUACCUUGUACUAAAAUAUAUUUUUUGGUCAAGCUAUUAAGGGUUGCUGGUGGAUGCCUUGGCAUCAAUAGGCUAUGAAGGACGCGAUACCUGCGAAAAGCUUCGGUGAGCUGGAAGAAAGCUUUGACCCGGAGAUAUCCGAAUGGGGAAACCCGG
rnacentral:sRNA from 1 species